UAGGGAAUCUUCCACAAUGGGCGCAAGCCUGAUGGAGCAACACCGCGUGAGUGAAGAAGGGUUUCGGCUCGUAAAGCUCUGUUGUUGGAGAAGAACGUGCGUGAGAGUAACUGUUCACGCAGUGACGGUAUCCAACCAGAAAGUCACGGCUAACUACGUGCCAGCAGCCGCGGUAAUACGUAGGUGGCAAGCGUUAUCCGGAUUUAUUGGGCGUAAAGCGAGCGCAGGCGGUUGCUUAGGUCUGAUGUGAAAGCCUUCGGCUUAACCGAAGAAGUGCAUCGGAAACCGGGCGACUUGAGUGCA
rnacentral:rRNA from 1 species